rnacentral:misc_RNA from 1 species
UUCAGUUGCUUGUUUAGGAUUUUUUUUCCUAGGCAAAUCGUCGGUUUUCUGUGUUGCCUACCCACGUGAUGGUAUUGUCUCGGUUGAUCAUAGUUGCUUUCGUCUUGUGUCAUUCUUAUGGCAAAAGAUGAACCAUGAUGCAGUCUCUUUGAUCCACAUUGUUGAUGCUUGCGUUGAUGUUGUGGCCCAUUGAGCACUGCUUGGCAUCCUGGAUAUGGAAAACUAUGUGGGCUUGGGGUCUCUCGGGAUCCCUCUUUUGCUCUCAUUUAGCGGUGUGCCUCUCUUAAUAUGACUGUCUUUCCCGAAUUGGCUCGUACCACCGGGAUGGUAUAUGUCAAAGAGUGGUACAUCUCCUUGGAUGACUUGCCUGUCCCGCAUUGGCUCGUACCAGCGGGCGGGUUAUGUCAAAGAGGAGUGCUACCUGGUUGAUCCUGCCAGUAGUCAU